GAAGGAGUGAGGCCCAGUGUGGGCGAACGCUGAGGACACCCCACUCAGUGAGAGAAGCCAGACCCAGAGGCCACACCGUGCGAAACCCCAUUUCUAUGAAAUGUCCAGGACAGGCCAGUGCUCAGAGGCAGGAAGGGGUGCGUAGGUGUGGAGGCUGGAGGGUGACAGCGGAUGGGGGUGGGUUUUCCUUGGAGGGUGAAAAUGCUCUACAUUUGAAGGCGAAGAUGGUUGCCCCAGUCUGUGGGUACACAAGCUCCUGCGUCGCACACCUGGUGAAUUGUAGGGCACGCAAAUCUCACUGAAAUCGUCCAGAAACAUCCUUCCCCCGGAUCAGUUCUUAGCAAAUGAGGAACAGUAAUCCAGAAUAAAAAAUGGGUGGCCUUUCUGGAAGGCCGUCUGCCGUGGACUACACGCGUGCCUCCUGUGGCCAGCGCUUCUGUCUCGGGAACAUAUGCAUACUGGUUCCGUGUCUGAGGACAGCUGUAGCCUCGAUUGUUGUAGUGGGAAGUUGUAUGACCGGGGGUGGGUUGAGCCAGUGGAACGUUGUGCAGCCGGGAAAAUGUGUUUGCUCCCUGGGGUGUGCUCUGUGUCUUUGGGCUUGGAGAGGUGCACGCAGCACUUUAAGUGAACAAACAGGCUCCGACGGCGACUGUGGUGAUUCCCAUUUGUGGUGGGGUUGUGGUUCUCAAGCUGGGAAAGGGAGAUUUGCCCAACUAUUGGUUGAUAUUAGUUUGAUGUCACGGAAUUUGGGAUACCUUAAAAAUACGCGCUAACUUUUCAA